AGCAUGUUAGUUAAAUGGUAAAACAUUGUGCUACGAACACAAAAUUACACGUUCGAGUCGUGUACGUGCCA
rnacentral:tRNA from 1 species